CCGCCCACCGCGAGGCCCGUCCCGGGGCCGCUCCCCGGGGAUCCGGGCGGCGUUUGUGUGCGUUGGUGCUUGGGAGCCCUGAGGAGGCAGCGUGAAACAGGCAACUGACACAGCCUGUCUUUAACCUGCUGCCCUCUCCUUCGUAAGGGAUGAUGAUGAUGAUGAGCAUAAAAAGAGGCUGUUUGCUGACGGCGAGAGGCAUUGUCCAUGCCAAUCUACAAGGCAGUCCAUCAGAUUUAGGAUUUUCAGCUGUCAGCCAUUCAUGUCAUGAGGAUUUCUCAGCUCUUUCUAAUUGGUCCCUGCAGUGCUUUGCCUUGCUCUUAGAAGGAAAGCAAAAUGCAUUUUAAGAGUUCAGAAAAUUAGCUUAUUUCAAAAGGAGAAUGAUUUUAAAUUUAUUCCAUUUGAAGUAUUUCCAGAUGAGACUUGGAAAAAAA